rnacentral:ncRNA from 1 species
AGGAAGCCGGUGCGACUCCGGCGCGGUCCCGCCACUGUCACCGGGGAGCGAACCCCACGGCACGGCCACGGCCCACCAGGGCGGGAAGGCCGGGGUGAGCGUCGAUCCGGGAGCCAGGAGACU